rnacentral:rRNA from 1 species
UACAGAGGGUGCAAGCGUUAAUCGGAAUUACUGGGCGUAAAGCGUGCGUAGACGGUUAUGUAAGUCAGAUGUGAAAGCCCCGGGCUCGACCUGGGAAUUGCAUUUGAGACUGCAUAGCUAGGGUGCGGAAGAGGGAAGCGGAAUUUCCGGUGUAGCGGUGAAAUGCGUAGAUAUCGGAAGGAACACCAGUGGCGAAAGCGGCUUCCUGGUCCAGCACCGACGUUCAGGCACGAAAGCGUGGGGAGCAAACAGG